AAUUUUCCUCAAUGUUACAGUUUUUCAUUUCAAUUUCUCGUAGAUUUAGCUGGAGAUUUUCAUUGUCCUAAGAGACAGUCUCCUAAACCUGCAGGCUCAGUGCCUGGACGUGGUAGCCAUGGACCAGUUGGGACUUCAGAAGAAGACUGGAAAAAUCCAGAAGGCUCAGCAGGAGAAGAGUGAACUGCCUGCUGGAGCUCGGAGCAGGUACUAUUCCUCCCCAAGAAGACCUUAACAACACUUCUCCAACCACAGAGCACCUUUCUGCACUGUUGCCACUUGCUAUGUUGACAGACACAUAAGUUUCUUAGCUGAAAAGAUGGUGAACAAAUUUUCUUUGGUAUCACCUGCCCCAGCCUACUCCAGCUACUCCAAGGACCACUCUGUCCCAUUACACUUUUCAGCAGAGAACAAUAUUACAGAAACUGAACUGUGAAGAUAAUGUUACUUCAAAAAAUCUUGUGAAAAGUGAUGUUCCGCAAUGCACCGUCAAGACCCUGAUCACGAUCCUAAAAGGAGCAGCUCCAUGUGUCAUUGCAAAGCUCAGUCUGUCCCCCUGUGAAGGUAACAUCUGAAUUUACG
rnacentral:lncRNA from 1 species